AUUGAACGCUGGCGGCAUGCCUUACACAUGCAAGUCGAACGGUAACAGGUCUUCGGAUGCUGACGAGUGGCGAACGGGUGAGUAAUACAUCGGAACGUGCCUAGUAGCGGGGGAUAACUACUCGAAAGAGUGGCUAAUACCGCAUGCGAUCUACGGAUGAAAGCAGGGGAUCGCAAGACCUUGUGCUACUAGAGCGGCCGAUGGCAGAUUAGGUAGUUGGUGGGAUAAAAGCUUACCAAGCCGACGAUCUGUAGCUGGUCUGAGAGGACGAUCAGCCACACUGGGACUGAGACACGGCCCAGACUCCUACGGGAGGCAGCAGUGGGGAAUUUUGGACAAUGGGCGCAAGCCUGAUCCAGCAAUGCCGCGUGCAGGAUGAAGGCCUUCGGGUUGUAAACUGCUUUUGUACGGAACGAAAAGCCCUGGGUUAAUACCCUGGGGUCAUGACGGUACCGUAAGAAUAAGCACCGGCUAACUACGUGCCAGCCGCCGCCGUAA
rnacentral:rRNA from 1 species